CGAAAUGUUAUUUUUUUUAUCCAGAAAUUUAGAUGUUUUAUCUUUGAAGGACAUUGGCUCUCUACGAAUUUCCAGUCCGUACAUGUUAACUUCAUUUUAGGAUUCUUUUUAUCCGUGGUCUUACUAUUUAGUGUCCCCAUUUUGCAAAUUUGAGAGUCAGCGGUUUACCUAGGGUAACUAUGCUGACUUUUCCCUUGAACAGGGUGACAAUUUCUCCGACUGAGGUAAUUUCCAACCUUCUACCUCCCAAGUGUACCAAAGUAUACCAAAGUGGCGGGAAAUUCUUGCAUCUGCUUCCUCAGACAGUUGCCACACAAAAUGUCCUGUUCGAAUGAGGUAGCAAACCUCCACUCACACAGUUACACAGUCACUCAUUAAGCGCAUUUUAUUCGAUUACAUUCAACCUCGGUACCAUUCUCAUACACACUCUAUUUACACGCGGAGUUUAAGCACGUACAGGACACCGCCGCUACGUACAGGACACCGCCACC